GAGGAAAGAGGGGGGCGUGCUUGACACAUGCAAGUCGAACGAAGCACUUUAUUUGAUUUCCUUCGGGACUGAUUAUUUUGUGACUGAGUGGCGGACGGGUGAGUAACGCGUGGGUAACCUGCCUUGUACAGGGGGAUAACAGUUGGAAACGGCUGCUAAUACCGCAUAAGCGCACAGCAUCGCAUGAUGCAGUGUGAAAAACUCCGGUGGUAUAAGAUGGACCCGCGUUGGAUUAGCUAGUUGGUGAGGUAACGGCCCACCAAGGCGACGAUCCAUAGCCGACCUGAGAGGGUGACCGGCCACAUUGGGACUGAGACACGGCCCAAACUCCUACGGGAGGCAGCAGUGGGGAAUAUUGCACAAUGGGCGAAAGCCUGAUGCAGCGACGCCGCGUGAGCGAAGAAGUAUUUCGGUAUGUAAAGCUCUAUCAGCAGGGAAGAUAAUGACGGUACCUGACUAAGAAGCACCGGCUAAAUACGUG
rnacentral:rRNA from 1 species